UCCACAGGACAGAGUGCUGGAAAGGAGA
rnacentral:piRNA from 1 species